UAGGGAAGGGGGUGCUUGAGAGGUUUGGGAGCCCUUAAGUGAUUUUCCUGGCCUCUCCAUACUCCCAG
ensembl:miRNA Mir6930 microRNA 6930